rnacentral:rRNA from 1 species
AUUGAACGCUGGCGGCAUGCUUUACACAUGCAAGUCGAACGGUAACAGGGUGCUUGCACCGCUGACGAGUGGCGAACGGGUGAGUAAUGCGUCGGAACGUGCCGAGUAGUGGGGGAUAACGCAGCGAAAGUUGUGCUAAUACCGCAUACGUACUGGGGUAGAAAGUGGGGGACCUUCGGGCCUCACGCUAUUCGAGCGGCCGCCGUCUGAUUAGCUAGUAGGUGAGGUAAAGGCUCACCUAGGCGACGAUCAGUAGCGGGUCUGAGAGGAUGAUCCGCCACACUGGGACUGAGACACGGCCCAGACUCCUACGGGAGGCAGCAGUGGGGAAUUUUGGACAAUGGGCGAAAGCCUGAUCCAGCCAUGCCGCGUGUCUGAAGAAGGCCUUCGGGUUGUAAAGGACUUUUGUCAGGGAGGAAAUCCCUAGUGCUAAUAACACUGGGGGAUGACAGUACCUGAAGAAUAAGCACCGGCUAACUACGUGCCAGCCGCCGCGGUAA